AUAGUCCUGUCUGAAUUCUUUGUGCUUUUCUUACAUUAUAAUUAAUGGGUUAGGACUUUCUCACAUCUUGAAGCAUACAAUUGUGGAGUAAUUCAAAGAGGAAGGAGCUUCUGAACUCAGCACGGAUGCUGGCAACGUGACCCGGGUCAACUAGCGCUCUACUUGACAAUUCCCAAGAAUGGCUUGCAAGUUAGCUCUUGCCAGGGGCAGUUUGGAUGCACUCACUGCAGUUUAGCAGGUCAAAUGCACAUGCUUCUUGUUUACUAUGGUCUGUCGGAUGCAUGACAGGAACACCUAGAAGCCCCACUUGAGAUCAGCUUCUGUCAGUCCUAGAUACUGCACAGAGCCUGACUCAAAGAGUUUACAGUCUAAAUGAGUAUGACAAAAAAGGAUACAGUAAAAUGAAUUCACAUAGAAUAUGAAGAGCUGCAGUGGAACCAGAUUAAGAUGAAAUCCCAUCCUCGUGUCAGUGAAAGCUUCAUUUCCAUUUGACCUGGAUUUGUACUCCCAGAUGACUUUGCCAAAACUUCAGGGGAAGUCUGCAUCGGAGACAGGAAUUGAACUCUGAGUCCUUGUUCAGUGACACUGUCCUUCCUGACAAAGGGGUAAAAUGAUUUAAACAUGCUUCAUGCAUGUCUCUCUGAGUGAAGUUAAUGGACGUUAUACAUGUGGAAGGCCUACAGGCUUGGGUCAUUCAUCCUUUCUACAUGCUUUCCCUUCACUUCGGUUCUGACCAUGAGAUAUGAAUAAACUCAGCAGGUUCACAAAGAAGGCAUAUAUGAACCUUUUACAGCUAGAGUGUGAGCUUAGGUUUGGAAGAAAUCCAAAACCUCAAAAGGAAAUUCAGCUGAAAUGACCAAGUUUUGCCUUGUUUAGGGUCAAAACUUUGUGAAAACAACACUUCCAUGCCUUGAAUGAGAAGUCUUGGAUCACUUAUGUUUGGAUUAUGUUUGCUGUCAGAUAAUACAGUAACUGGUACAACAGAGGUGAUCAAGGGAAUUGCUGGUAGUUAGCUCAUACAAAAACCGCAAAGGAGCAAUUUUGUCCAACCUAUAGGAGAUUGAUAAGUAUGUUAAUUAGAAAUCUGAUUUCAUUUCAGUGCUACCAUCUGGUGGGCAAAAUGCAGACAGCAAAAAUCGCAUUGUUACAAUACUGGAACAUUCUGAUACAGUGAGUUUUUGUUUUACUUUGUGAAGGAAACAUAAGAUAUUAUUAAAACAACUUGAACAUCUGGUUUGGGGAUAAAGUCAUUCUGCAGCAUUGCUGCCAAGCCUCAGGGCCAAGCACAAAGAGAACAACCUUCCCUUCCAGCCUCUCCAUAAUGCUUAACACCAAACUGUAAAAUUUCAUGUCCAACACAGAUGAAGAACAAAAUAUACUGAAGCAAUGGCUGUUCAUGUCUAGAAAAAUUCACCUGAUAGCUGGAAUGCCAGGGCACUAUGAAAGAGUAAAGCUGCAGAUUAUAAAAAGUUAAAGACAAAGUUAUAUCAGGUAUUCUAAGGAAAUGAAGAGGAAAGGAAGGUCACUAGGAAACCUUUGUAAUUAUUUAUUGAAAGGCUCUGUUAAGAUGCCUUACCGAAGAGCAGUGCUGUUUUCUUUGGUACAGUUAGAAUUUGCAAUGUGAAGGUGGAAACAUGGGUUAGACUUGACCUUCUCCAACUACUGUCUGAACUCUAGUGGAUCUGGAAGAAAAGUAACCAGUUAUUCCAAUGUUGUAUCGCUUACUUUCAAAUGAAUCUGGCCCCAAACCUCAAACAUUUAUGUAAACUUCUUUCCCAUUAAGAUGUAUUGUCAUAAUCACAUGUCUCGAAGUUUCAGAAAACCUUGGGGGAGAUUUUACUGAAAACAUUUAUUCAGAGUUGAAGUUCUGGUGUCUGGUUGCUGUAAUUUUACCCAUAGCAUUCUUAUUCUUUCUUAUACUGCCAUUUUUCUCUGAUAUAAAUGUGAACUGUCCAUUGAUUUUUCAAACCCUAUGAAGUCCCUACUCCAGUGCUCUCUUUGGCUAUCUGCCUGCGCUCAACAUUGAACUAUCUUUUAAAAUGUGAUGAAAGUUGUAUCAUACCCUCUGGUAUAACUGGGACUUUUAACCUGGCAUAAAUUUAUGAAAGUGUUCCCCAGCUUAGCAAAUCAAUGCUUUGGUUGGGUUUUUUUGAAUAGAUGUGAAUGUACCAUCACUGGUCUCAAGAGUUUAGAGUUUGAGACAUAAAAUUCUUUGAUUUGACUAAGUAGCCUUUAUACAGUGAUAUUCUGUGUUUAGCUGCUGAUAUUACAGUUUUUUGAAACUUGGAUAAUGUAAAUCUGCUACUCCAGAAGGUCAGCCAGUAGAUGACUUAAUGUCUCUAAGAACUUCCACUAAUGAGUACAACAGUAAUUCAUGGUAACUUCAACCUUGGUAAUAAGGUUCACAGAGGUCUGGUCAAGCAUUCCAAAACUUUGGCUUCAUUUGGGAAAUUUGUACUGAGGUUGAAUGAGAAUAAAUAACC
ensembl:lncRNA